rnacentral:rRNA from 1 species
GACGAACGCUGGCGGCGUGCUUAACACAUGCAAGUCGAACGGUGAUGCUCCAGCUUGCUGGAGUGGAUCAGUGGCGAACGGGUGAGUAACACGUGAGCAACCUGCCCCAGACUCUGGAAUAAGCGCUGGAAACGGCGUCUAAUACUGGAUACGAAACUGGCCCGCAUGGGCAUGGUUUGGAAAGUUGUUCGGUUUGGGAUGGGCUCGCGGCCUAUCAGCUUGUUGGUGAGGUAAUGGCUCACCAAGGCGACGACGGGUAGCCGGCCUGAGAGGGGGACCGGCCACACUGGGACUGAGACACGGACCAGACUCCUACGGGAGGCAGCAGUGGGGAAUAUUGCACAAUGGGCGAAAGCCUGAUGCAGCGACGCCGCGUGAGGGAUGACGGCCUUCGGGUUGUAAACCUCUUUCAGCAGGGAAGAAGCGAAAGUGACGGUACCUGCAGAAGAAGCACCGGCUAACUACGUG